rnacentral:rRNA from 1 species
AGCAGUCCCACGGGAAUACCAGCACCUCGAGUGGUCAGGAGGUUUAUUGGGCCUAAAGCAUCCGUAGCCGGUUGCAUAAGUUUUCGGUUAAAUCUAUGCGCUUAACGUAUAGGCCGCCGAAAAUACUGUGCAGCUAGGGAGUGGGAGAGGUACACGGUACUCGAUAGGAAGGGGUAAAAUCCUUUGAUCUAUUGAUGACCACCUGUGGCGAAGGCGGUGUACCAGAACACGUUCGACGGUGAGGUAUGAAAGCUGGGGGAACAAACCGGAUUAGAUACCCCCGUAGUCCCUGUCUCUUAUACA